UUAGUGGAAGCGUCUGGAAAGGCGCGCGAUACAGGGUGACAGCCCCGUACACAAAAGCGCAUGUGCUGUGAGCUCGAUGAGUAGGGCGGGACACGUGGUAUCCUGUCUGAAUAUGGGGGGACCAUCCUCCAAGGCUAAAUACUCCUGACUGACCGAUAGUGAACCAGUACCGUGAGGGAAAGGCGAAAAGAACCCCGGCGAGGGGAGUGAAAAAGAACCUGAAACCGUGUACGUACAAGCAGUGGGAGCACCCUUUGGGGUGUGACUGCGUACCUUUUGUAUAAUGGGUCAGCGACUUAUAUUCUGUAGCAAGGUUAACCGUAUAGGGGAGCCGGAGGGAAACCGAGUCUUAAUUGGGCGUUAAGUUGCAGGGUAUAGACCCGAAACCCGGUGAUCUAGCCAUGGGCAGGUUGAAGGUUGGGUAACACUAACUGGAGGACCGAACCGACUAAUGUUGAAAAAUUAGCGGAUGACCUGUGGCUGGGGGUGAAAGGCCAAUCAAACCGGGAG
rnacentral:rRNA from 1 species